UUUCAAAAAGGGCUUAAGGGGGGAGUACACCUGAAAAAUAGGGCGAUAUAAAAUGUUUUAUCUUUGGACAAGGUUACAUCCAAACCCCCACAAACUAUAUAUUAGUAGAAAGCUUAGAACCUGGAGAUUCAGAAAAAAAAUAUUUCAAACAGUGAAAAGCUGUAUUAAGGUGGCUCUGCACCGUUCAUCAAAUUUUCGGUUUAGCUUUAUUCAAGAAAAGAUUGCACUAGCUGUGUAUUAUGAAAUUUGAUUAUUUAUACAUUUUUUUAAAUACUUACAUAGGGAUUAUUGUUUUAAGCAUAGAGAAUUUUGAUUGACAAAAAAGAAAAAAAGUUAUGGGUUUGGGAAGUUAGGCGUCAAAUUUUUAAAAAGUAAAAAUUGUAGUAACUUUUGAUAUUUUUACUCAAUCAAAAAUCUCUAUGCUUAAAACACAAAGCUAAGUGAGAGGAGCAUUCUCUGAAAAUUUCAGUGCAAUCCAAUAAAUUGUUAUCGAGAUAUCUUUUCUCAAAGUCUAAAAUAUCCGAAAAUGAGAAAAACGAGUUUAAAGUCUCUUGUAUCGAAAACACUUGAUUUUUCAUACAUUUUGAAAAUCUUAAGCCUGGAUAAUUUAAAUCCUAGCAUUUACUUGGUGUUUUAAAAAGUUUUGUUACAGUUUAAAAUCCUCUAGCCUCUUUAUGUCACUCCUUCAGCUUCCCAAAUAGCUUCUUCCCAUUGCGUUCAAAUCAGUUUCUCUCCUUGGCGUCGUUUCUUCUCUUUUUCAGUUGCCUGUAAAUCAGAUUUCUUCAUUCGCUGCACAUCGAUCUUGCAUCACAAGCUUGUUUUGUUUUACCCCCAGUGUGAUAACACCAAGUCGACUCUUUGCUCCAAUAUGGAAGUGGGGGAAUAGCGGCAGCUACAGGACAUUGCACUGCUUUGCGGCCAUGUUGUUUAUGCUUUGGAUACCUAAUCCAAGCUAGAGCAUUCAAACUGCCAUUUUGGUUUUCAGUUGUGCCAAGAACACACCUUUGAAGAAACUCUGUUUGACUAAGAGAAAUGACC
rnacentral:lncRNA from 1 species